UGAAGAGCCGUAACCAUGGGCAUCGUCCGCAGCCGCCUGCAUAAGCGCAAGAUCACCGGUGGAAAGACCAAGAUCCACCGGAAGCGCAUGAAGGCCGAGCUGGGUCGCCUUCCCGCGAACACCCGCCUUGGCGCCCGCCGCGUGAGCUCUGUGCGUGCUCGCGGUGGCAACUUCAAGAUCCGUGCCCUGCGCCUGGACACCGGCAACUUUGCCUGGGCCUCCGAGGCCAUCGCGCACCGCGUGCGUCUUCUCGACGUCGUGUACAACGCCACCUCGAACGAGCUGGUGCGUACGAAGACGCUUGUGAAGAACUGCAUCGUCGCCGUGGAUGCCGCGCCGUUCAAGCGCUGGUACGCCAAGCACUACGGCAUCGACUUGGAUGCAGACAGGAAGACCACCAAGGCUGCCGCUGCUGCAGAGAAGAAGGGCAGGAAGUCCGUCCACGCCGCUGCUGACAAGUACGACGUGAACAAGGCCUCGCCCAAGCUUCAGCGCGAGUGGAUUCGCCGCCGCCGCAACCACAGGGUUGAGAAGGCAAUCGCCGAUCAGCUGCGCGAGGGCCGCGUGCUUGCGCGCAUAACGAGCCGCCCGGGCCAGUCCGGCCGUGCCGACGGUAUCCUGCUGGAGGGCGCCGAGCUCCAGUUCUAUCUGAAGCGCCUGGAGAAGAAGAAGAAGUAAGGCGAGCAUGUGCGCGUGGCUAAGCGUGUUCACGCUGCUGUGGAUGCGAAUUCGCUUGUCGAUAAAGCGUCAUGGCGCAGACCUGCAAGUGCACUGCACCUCACGCCCUUCACACCACCAUGCGUUCACCGCCUCGGCUGGUUGCCUCUCCCCCAGUGCCACCGCAGCUUGACGCGGCGCUCUCUCUGACCUUCGCUCUUUGUUUUCUUCUUUUCAUUUUUUCGACUUUUUUCUCCUCUCCGGCGUAACCGCGCGGUGGUUG
rnacentral:misc_RNA from 1 species